rnacentral:rRNA from 1 species
AUUGAACGCUGGCGGCAGGCCUAACACAUGCAAGUCGAACGGUAGCACAGAGAGCUUGCUCUCGGGUGACGAGUGGCGGAUGGGUGAGUAAUGUCUGGGAAACUGCCCGAUGGCGGGGGCUAACUACUGGAAACGGUAGCUAAAACCGCAUAACGUCCCAAGACCAAAGUGGGGGACAUUAGAGCCUCACACCACAGGAUUUGUCCAGAUGGGAUUAGCUAGUAGGUGGGGUAAUGGCUCACCUAGGCGACGAUCCCUAGCUGGUCUGAGAGGAUGACCAGCCACACUGGAACUGAGACACGGUCCAGACUCCUACGGGAGGCAGCAGUGGGGAAUAUUGCACAAUGGGCGCAAGCCUGAUGCAGCCAUGCCGCGUGUAUGAAGAAGGCCUUCGGGUUGUAAAGUACUUUCAGCGGGGAGGAAGGCCGUGAAGUUAAUAGCUUCACCGAUUGACGUUACCCGCAGAAGAAGCACCGGCUAACUCCGUGCCAGCCGCCGCCGUAA